rnacentral:rRNA from 13 species
GUUUGACCUCGGAUCAGGUAGGGAUACCCGCUGAACUUAA